rnacentral:rRNA from 1 species
UACGGAGGGUGCAAGCGUUACCCGGAUUUACUGGGUUUAAAGGGUGUGUAGGCGGACUUUUAAGUCAGGGGUGAAAUCCCGAGGCUCAACCUCGGAACUGCCUUUGAUACUAUUGGUCUUGAAUGUUGUUGAGGUGGGCGGAACGGGUCAUGUAGCGGUGAAAUGCAUAGAUAUGACCCGGAACACCGAUUGCGAAGGCAGCCCGCUAAGCAACUAUUGACGCUGAGGCACGAAAGCGUGGGGAUCAAACAGG